rnacentral:rRNA from 1 species
UACAGAGGUCCCAAGCGUUGUUCGGAUUCACUGGGCGUAAAGGGUGCGUAGGCGGUCGGGUAAGUCUGACGUGAAAUCUUCAAGCUCAACUUGGAAACUGCGUCGGAUACUAUUCGGCUAGAGGAAUGGAGGGGAGACUGGAAUACUUGGUGUAGCAGUGAAAUGCGUAGAUAUCAAGUGGAACACCAGUGGCGAAGGCGAGUCUCUGGACAUUUCCUGACGCUGAAGCGCGAAAGCUAGGGGAGCGAACGGG